GACGAACGCUGGCGGCGUGCUUAACACAUGCAAGUCGAACGGUGAAGCACCUUCCUUUUGGUGGGUGUGGAUGAGUGGCGAACGGGUGAGUAACACGUGAGUAACCUGCCCCCUUCUUCUGGAUAACCGCAUGAAAGUGUGGCUAAUACGGGAUAUUCUGUGCCUGCUGCAUGGUGGGUGUGGGAAAGAUGCGCUUUUGGGUGUUUUUGGUGGGGGAUGGGCUCGCGGCCUAUCAGCUUGUUGGUGGGGUGAUGGCCUACCAAGGCGGUGACGGGUAGCCGGCCUGAGAGGGUGGACGGUCACACUGGGACUGAGACACGGCCCAGACUCCUACGGGAGGCAGCAGGGGGGAAUAUUGCACAAUGGGCGCAAGCCUGAUGCAGCGACGCCGCGUGAGGGAUGGAGGCCUUCGGGUUGUAAACCUCUUUCGCCAGUGAAGCAGGCCUGUCCCUUGUGGGUGGGUUGACGGUAGCUGGAUAAGAAGCGCCGGCUAACUACGU
rnacentral:rRNA from 1 species